ACAUACUUCUUUAUAUGCCCAUAGGUUCUGCUCUUUGGUUAUGGAAUGUUAAGAAGUAUGUAU
rnacentral:pre_miRNA from 1 species